rnacentral:piRNA from 1 species
UCAAAACUUGGCUAGAGGUUUGGGGCC